AUUCCAGCUCCAAUAGCGUAUAUUAAAGUUGUUGCAGUUAAAAAGCUCGUAGUUGAAUUUCUGGUGGGAGUGUACAGUCCGACACUGAGUGUUGGUUCUUGUGUGUCUCCGGCCAUCCUUGGAGUGAAUCUGUCUGGCAUUUAGUUGUUGGGCAGAGUAUCUCCAUCGUUUACUGUGAGGAAAGGAAAGUGUUCAAAGCAGGCUUACGCCGUUGAAUCUUUUAGCAUGGAAUAAUAAUCUAGGACUUUGGUUCUAUUUUGUUGGUUUCUAGAACUGGAGUAAUGAUUGAUAGGGAUAGUUGGGGGUGCUAGUAUUCAGCGGCCAGAGGUGAAAUUCUUGGAUUCGCUGAGGACUAACUUAUGCGAAAGCAUUCACCAAGGAUGUCUUCAUCA
rnacentral:rRNA from 1 species